rnacentral:rRNA from 1 species
CGAGUGGCGAACGGGUGAGUAAUAUAUCGGAACGUGCCCAGUAAUGGGGGAUAGCCCGGCGAAAGCCGGAUUAAUACCGCAUACGACCUACGGGUGAAAGCGGGGGAUCGCAAGACCUCGCGUUAUUGGAGCGGCCGAUAUCAGAUUAGGUAGUUGGUGGGGUAAAGGCCUACCAAGCCUGCGAUCUGUAGUUGGUCUGAGAGGACGACUAGCCACACUGGGACUGAGACACGGCCCAG